CGAGAAACUGGCGGAGGUUUCGAGUGCGCCUGCGCCUUUGGCACGUUUCAUCUUGACCCUGUUGGGGGUGAUGCUGAGGUCUUUCGCCAUCUUGUUUCUGUGUGUGACACACCAGCGUGCUAGAAUAAUAAAACGCUCUUGCUGAUUGCCUACGUGGAUGGUGCUCUUUUGCGGGACUCUCCGGGACCUUAACACCAGGAAGAGGAGAUAAAAGAACAGCCAGCCAAGUGUGAUGUAACUGGGUUUGUCGGGGCCUAAAAUGAGAGCUUGAAGCUGCCUGCAGUGGCUGCCAACUACUGUGCCAGAAUGUUCAAAUCCUCCCCCAAAGAGAUGUACUUGUUUGGGGUCUGGAGAGAUGGCUCGGUGCUUAAUAACACUCACUGACUGGUCUUUCGGAGACCCCAAGUUCUAGUCCCAGACCCUACACGGUGGCUCACAGUGGUCUUCUGAUGUUCUGGCCUGCACUGGAUGCAUAUGGUGUGCAGACAGACAUACAAGCAAGACACCCAUAUAC